UAUUAUUAUUUUAUUUUAUUAUUUUUUUUGAAAAAAAAACAAAGAAAGGAAAGUCACUCACGUGACUUUCUUUCUUCUUUCCUUUUUUUUUUCUUUCUUUCUUUUUGUUUUUCUUCUUUCUUUUCUUUUUUCUUAUUAUUUUUAUUUGUUAUUUGUUAAGUCUUUAUCCCCAAGUCUCCAAAAGGGGUAUUUUGGUCUUUGAUCUGUAUCAGAGCCAACCCUAUUUUGUCACUAUAAAUACACUGUCCAAUCAUUGGGAAGAGGGUCCAAAAAUUCACUGUUCACACGCGUCAGAGUCAGAAAACGGGUCAGAUUGGUCCCUAUCAUACCACAAACACUUUUCCCUUUCUCUCUCAUCCAAAUUCCAGAUCUAACACUAAAAAAUCAAAGAAAAUGAUGAACAUUCAUAUGAGUUCAUCAUAAACCUUCAUUUUUUUUCCAGAAAUUUACCUCAAACCUCACGUAAUCCCGAACAACAGUCACGAAUCAUUUCAUUUCACCCAUACACAAGGUGUUUCAUUCUCGGAUCUAGAACAACACAAACCAUACCAAACCGUAAAUCCAACCCAAACCAAACCGGUUCCAAGCUUCAAAGAACCAGAUCGGAGCUAAAUAGACCGGAUUCGCGAGAAAGAAAACGGAACGCGCACAUAAAGAAAGAACAAGAGCAAAUCGGACCAGAAACAACAACAACAAAGCAAAAAGAGGUAAAAAAAUUUCAAAUCUUCAUUUGUAGAUCUAGCUCAAAUCUCUCUACCCUUUUUAAAACUAACACCGGAUUUGUAUAGAGGAGAAGGAGAAGAAGCUUUUGAUGUAAAAAAAUUUCAAAAA
rnacentral:lncRNA from 1 species